GAUGAACGCUCGCGGCGUGCCUAAUACAUGCAAGUCGAGCGAACGGACGAGAAGCUUGCUUCUCUGAUGUUAGCGGCGGACGGGUGAGUAACACGUGGAUAACCUACCUAUAAGACUGGGAUAACUUCGGGAAACCGUAGCUAAUACCGGAUAAUAUUUUGAACCGCAUGGUUCAAAAGUGAAAGACGGUCUUGCUGUCACUUAUAGAUGGAUCCGCGCUGCAUUAGCUAGUUGGUAAGGUAACGGCUUACCAAGGCAACGAUGCAUAGCCGACCUGAGAGGGUGAUCGGCCACACUGGAACUGAGACACGGUCCAGACUCCUACGGGAGGCAGCAGUAGGGAAUCUUCCGCAAUGGGCGAAAGCCUGACGGAGCAACGCCGCGUGAGUGAUGAAGGUCUUCGGAUCGUAAAACUCUGUUAUUAGGGAAGAACAUAUGUGUAAGUAACUGUGCACAUCUUGACGGUACCUAAUCAGAAAGCCACGGCUAACUACGUG
rnacentral:rRNA from 1 species